rnacentral:rRNA from 1 species
AUUGAACGCUGGCGGCAGGCUUAACACAUGCAAGUCGAGCGGAGACUUCGGUCUUAGCGGCGAACGGGUGAGGAAUGCCUGGGAAUCUGCCUGGUAGUGGGGGAUAACGUUCCGAAAGGAACGCUAAUACCGCAUACGUCCUACGGGAGAAAGCAGGGGACCUUCGGGCCUUGCGCUAUCAGAUGAGCCCAGGUCGGAUUAGCUAGUAGGUGAGGUAAAGGCUCACCUAGGCGACGAUCCGUAGCUGGUCUGAGAGGAUGAUCAGCCACACUGGAACUGAGACACGGUCCAGACUCCUACGGGAGGCAGCAGUGGGGAAUAUUGGACAAUGGGCGAAAGCCUGAUCCAGCCAUGCCGCGUGUCGUGAAGAAGGCCUCGGUUGUAAGC